rnacentral:rRNA from 1 species
UCUAAGCCAUGCGAGUCGAGAGGUGCAAGACCUCGGCAUACUACUCAGUAACACGUGGACAACCUAACCUAUGGAGGGGGAUAACCCCGGGAAACUGGGGAUAAUACCCCAUAGACUAUGGAUGCUGGAAUGCUCUGUAGUUGAAAGGUCCGCCGCCAUAGGAUGGGUCUGCGGCCGAUUAGGUUGUUGUUGGGGUAACGGCCCAACAAGCCUGUAAUCGGUACGGGUUGUGGGAGCAAGAGCCCGGAGAUGGAUUCUGAGACACGAAUCCAGGCCCUACGGGGCGCAGCAGGCGCGAAAACUUUACAAUGCGAGAAAUCGUGAUAAGGGAACCCCGAGUGCCCGUAAAUUCGGGCUGUCCGCCAGUGUAAAUAACUGGUGAAGAAAGGGCCGGGCAAGACCGGUGCCAGCCGCCGCGGUAAUACCGGCGGCUCGAGUGGUGGCCGCUAUUACUGGGCUUAAAGCGUCCGUAGCUGGGUUGUUAAGUCUCCUGGGAAAUCCAUCGGCUCAACCGAUGGGCGUUCAGGAGAUACUGGCGACCUAGGGACCGGGAGAGGUGAGAGGUACUCCAGGGGUAGGAGUGAAAUCCUGUAAUCCUUGGGGGACCACCUGUGGCGAAGGCGUCUCACCAGAACGGCUCCGACAGUGAGGGACGAAAGCUGGGGGAGCAAACCGGAUUAGAUACCCGGGUAGUCCCAGCUGUAAACGAUGCGCGUUAGGUGUAUCGGUGACCACGAGUCACCGAGGUGCCGAAGAGAAAUCGUGAAACGUGCCGCCUGGGAAGUACGGUCGCAAGGCUGAAACUUAAAGGAAUUGGCGGGGGAGCACCACAACGGGUGGAGCCUGCGGUUUAAUCGGACUCAACGCCGGGAAGCUCACCGGAUAAGACAGCUGGAUGAUAGCCGGGCUGAAGACUCUGCUUGACUAGCUGAGAGGUGGUGCAUGGCC